GAAAUGCGAUACGUAAUGUGAAUUGCAGAAUUCAGUGAAUCAUCGAAUCUUUGAACGCACCUUGUGCCCCUUGGUAUUCCGAGGGGCACACCCGUUUGAGUGUCGUGAACACCCUCAACCUUCUUGGUUUUUCGAUCGGGAAGGCUUGGACUUUGGAGGUUUUCCUUUGCUGGCCUUCCUUUGAAGCCAGCUCCUCCUAAACGAAUUAGUGGGGUCCGCUUUGCCGAUCCUUGACGUGAUAAGUAUGCUUCUACGUCUUGAGUUUCGCACCGUGUUGGCCUGGAACCUGCUUCCAACAGUCUUCGUUUCGAAGACGAUCUUCGACCUUGACCUCAAAUCGGGUGAGACUACCCGCUGAACUUAA
rnacentral:rRNA from 1 species